GGUGAGGUGUCCGAGUGGCCGAAGGAGCACGCCUGGAAAGUGUGUAUAGGGCAACCUAUCGAGGGUUCGAAUCCCUCCCUCACCGCCA
rnacentral:tRNA from 2 species